CAUCUAUCAAAUCAGCCCUGCCUCAAAGUUCAGCUCACCCACCAGGAAUAAAACAUUUUCUACUGAAAAUGAAGAUAGAUAAUUUAAAGUGUAGAAAGAAAAAAUCAAAUUGAAGGGAAAGUGGGGUCAGUGGAGAAGAAUGAAGCCAGGGAGAGGUUUCUGAGUGUCCAGAUCAAAGACAGAAACAUAAUCUGUUGCAAAAUUUCUGCUCUUCUUGAGUUGCUGAAAGUAGUUCUUCCUGGUGCUAAAAGCUCCUUGAGAGAAGAGAAUAUGUCAGUUUUGUUCUCUGCUGUAACCUCAAUGCUGAGAGCAGGGUACAGAGUAAGUGCUCAAUAAAUAUUUGUUGAAUGAACAAGUGAAUAAGACCUCAAUGGAUAUAGAAGACAAAAUCUUCAGCAGCCUGCCCUCACCCAAGACAGAGCCGGCUUUGGAUAUUCUUUCUCCCAGAUCUCUCAAUGUGAGCCAAGAGCAAACUGUUAAAAGCCACUUGGGACACCUAUGUGGCCCUAAA
rnacentral:lncRNA from 1 species